GCGGGAGGAAUGUAGCUUCUCCGGAAGUGUUAUAGCCUCUGGUAGAUGUGACAACUGAGAUUGAGGAUUGCAACGAAUACCCUCUGGGCUACUUGUCUGGCCUCUGGUCGUCGCUUUGGUGCUGAAAGCGUGCUUAUGGUAUUAAAGUAGAUGGUCAAAAGGUUAGAACGGGUUAAAUUCGUUAAGGAUGUUGACGUAAUGACUUUAAACGA
rnacentral:rRNA from 1 species